ACAUCAGUGACAGGUGGUGCAUGGUUGUCGUCAGCUCGUGUCGUGAGAUGUUGGGUUAAGUCCCGCAACGAGCGCAACCCCUAUUGUUAGUUGCCAUCAUUCAGUUGGGCACUCUAGCGAGACUGCCGGUAAUAAACCGGAGGAAGGUGGGGAUGACGUCAAAUCAUCAUGCCCCUUAUGACCUGGGCUACACACGUGCUACAAUGGUUGGUACAACGAGUUGCGAGUCGGUGACGGCGAGCUAAUCUCUUAAAGCCAAUCUCAGUUCAGAUUGUAGGCUGCAACUCGCCUACAUGAAGUCGGAAUCGCUAGUAAUCGCGGAUCAGCACGCCGCGGUGAAUACGUUCCCGGGCCUU
rnacentral:rRNA from 1 species